rnacentral:rRNA from 1 species
AUUGAACGCUGGCGGCAUGCUUUACACAUGCAAGUCGAACGGCAGCGCGGGCUUCGGCCUGGCGGCGAGUGGCGAACGGGUGAGUAAUGCAUCGGAACGUGCCCAGUAGUGGGGGAUAGCCCGGCGAAAGCCGGAUUAAUACCGCAUACGACCUGAGGGUGAAAGCGGGGGACCGAAAGGCCUCGCGCUAUUGGAGCGGCCGAUGUCGGAUUAGCUAGUUGGUGGGGUAAAGGCUUACCAAGGCGACGAUCCGUAGCUGGUCUGAGAGGGAGACCAGCCACACGGGGACUGAGACACGGCCCAGACUCCUACGGGAGGCAGCAGUGGGGAAUUUUGGACAAUGGGGGCAACCCUGAUCCAGCCAUGCCGCGUGCGGGAAGAAGGCCUUCGGGUUGUAAACCGCUUUUGUUCGGGAAGAAAUCCUCUGGGCUAAUACCCCGGGGGGAUGACGGUACCGGAAGAAUAAGCACCGGCUAACUACGUG